GAGGGUAGAGCUCAGUGGUAGAGCAUAUGCUUAGCAUGCACAAGGUCCUGGGUUCAAUCCCCAAUACCUCCA
rnacentral:tRNA from 1 species